UGGGAACGUACCCUUUGGUUCGGAACAACCCAGGGAAACUUGGGCUAAUACCGGAUAAGUCCGUAAGGAGAAAGUUUAUCGCCAAAGGAUCGGCCCGCGUCUGAUUAGCUAGUUGGUAGGGUAAUGGCCCACCAAGGCGACGACGGGUAGCCGGCCUGAGAGGGUGACCGGCCACGCUGGGACUGAGACACGGCCCAGACUCCUACGGGAGGCAG
rnacentral:rRNA from 1 species